CUGGGUUUGGGAAAUCGAUCGCAAAGCAAGUCUGGGAAACUUCCCUUUCGAGUACCGCAAAAAGUUGGAAACGUUCAUUUUGGAACUGAAAAUGACCCCGGUAGAGUUUACAGCCUUUGGUCUGUUUACUGUCGACAACUCGACUAUUGUUGAGGUUUUUGGAUUUACUGUGAACACCAUGAUGAUCGUUGUUCAGUUCUUCGAGUGAUCAAGAAAACUUCUUUCGGGCAAAACGAAG